rnacentral:rRNA from 1 species
UACGAAGGGGGCUAGCGUUGCUCGGAAUCACUGGGCGUAAAGCGCACGUAGGCGGAUUCUUAAGUCAGGGGUGAAAUCCUGGAGCUCAACUCCAGAACUGCCUUUGAUACUGGGAAUCUCGAGUCCGGGAGAGGUGAGUGGAACUGCGAGUGUAGAGGUGAAAUUCGUAGAUAUUCGCAAGAACACCAGUGGCGAAGGCGGCUCACUGGCCCGGUACUGACGCUGAGGUGCGAAAGCGUGGGGAGCGAACAGG